GGCUUCAUCGACCGGAAGGACUCUCCUUUGGUCAAUGAGGAAGCUAAACCUCAUCAACCAGAAGGAAUUCCUUCCGGUUGAUGAGUUCAAUCUUCCUCAUCAACCGGAAGGGAUCCCUUCCAGUCGAUGAGGGAUAUCUUCCUCAUUGACCGGAAGGAAUCCCUUCCGGUCAAUGAGGUU
rnacentral:miRNA from 1 species